rnacentral:misc_RNA from 1 species
GAUGAAGAACGUAGCGAAAUGCGAUAAGUAAUGUGAAUUGCAGAAUUCAGUGAAUCAUCGAAUCUUUGAACGCACAUUGCGCCCCCUGGUAUUCCGGGGGGCAUGCCUGUUCGAGCGUCAUUUCAACCCUCAAGCUCUGCUUGGUAUUGAGUCCAUGUCAGCAAUGGCAGGCUCCAAAAUCAGUGGCGGCGCCGCUGGGUCCUGAACGUAGUAAUAUCUCUCGUUACAGGUGCUCGGCGUGCUUCUGCCAAGACCCCAAUUUUUCUAUGGUUGACCUCGGAUCAGGUAGGGAUACCCGCUGAACUUAAGCAUAUCAAUAAGCGGAGGA